rnacentral:rRNA from 1 species
UUCGCCAUUUAAAGUGGUACGCGAGCUGGGUUUAGAACGUCGUGAGACAGUUCGGUCCCUAUCUGCCGUGGGCGCUGGAGAACUGAGGGGGGCUGCUCCUAGUACGAGAGGACCGGAGUGGACGCAUCACUGGUGUUCGGGUUGUCAUGCCAAUGGCACUGCCCGGUAGCUAAAUGCGGAAGAGAUAAGUGCUGAAAGCAUCUAAGCACGAAACUUGCCCCGAGAUGAGUUCUCCCUGACUCCUUGAGAGUCCUGAAGGAACGUUGAAGACGACGACGUUGAUAGGCCGGGUGUGUAAGCGCAGCGAUGCGUUGAGCUAACCGGUACUAAUGAACCGUGAGGCUUAACCUU